GCCCGGGUGGCUCAGUCGGUUGAGUGUCUGCCUUUGGCUCAGGCCAUGAUCUCAGGGACCUGGGAUCAAGUCCCACACCGGGCU
rnacentral:tRNA from 1 species